rnacentral:rRNA from 1 species
GACGAACGCUGGCGGCGUGCUUAACACAUGCAAGUCGAACGGUAAGGCCCGGCUCUUGUGGGGUGCUCAAGUGCCGAACGCGGGAGUAACACGUGAGUGACCUGCCCCUUACUGUGGGAGAACUUCAGGAGACUCGAACUAAUACCCCACAUAAUCUCCUUCUGCAUGGGGGGUAUGUUAGAGUGUCGCCGGUUCGGCAUGGACACGCGGUUUAUCAGUUUGUUGGUGGGGUGGUGGCGUACCAAGGCUUUGACGGGUUGCCGGCCUGGGAGGGUGACCGGCCACAUUGGGACUGAGAUACGGCCCAGACUCCUACGGGAGGCAGCAGUGGGGAAUAUUGCACAAUGGGCGGAAGCCUGAUGCAGCAACGCCGCGUGCGGGAUGACGGCCUUCGGGUUGUAACCCGCUUUCGCCUGUGAAGAAGCGUGAGUGACGGUAAUGGGUAAAGAAGCAACGGCUAACUACGUG